CCCUUACGGGUGAAGAUAAGACGGAUUAGCGGCGGACGGGUGAGUAACACGUGAGUAACCUGCCUUUUACACAGGGAUAGCCUCGGGAAACCGGGAUUAAAACCUGAUGAAACUAUCAAAUCACAUGAUUAAGAAAGUUAAAACUCCGGUGGUAAAAGAUGGACUCGCGUCCCAUUAGCUAGUUGGUGAAGGUAACGGCCCACCAAGGCAACGAUGGGUAGCCGGCCUGAGAGGGUGAACGGCCACAUUGGAACUGAGAAACGGUCCAAACUCCUACGGGAGGCAGCAGGG
rnacentral:rRNA from 1 species